UACGUAGGCAGCGAGCGCUGUUCGGAGUUACUGGGCGUAAAGGGUGCGUAGGCGGUUGUUUAAGUUUGGUGUGAAAUCUCCCGGCUCAACUGGGAGGGUGCGCCGAAUACUGAAUGACUAGAGUGCGGGAGAGGAGAGUGGAAUUCCUGGUGUAGCGGUGAAAUGCGUAGAUAUCAGGAGGAACACCGGUGGUGUAGACGGCUCUCUGGACCGUAACUGACGCUGAGGCACGAAAGCGUGGGUAGCAAACAGG
rnacentral:rRNA from 1 species